rnacentral:rRNA from 2 species
GGAUGCGAUCAUACCAGCACUAAAGCACCGGAUCCCAUCCGAACUCCGAAGUUAAGCGUGCUUGGGCGAGAGUAGUACUAGGAUGGGUGACCUCCUGGGAAGUCCUCGUGUUGCAUUCC